CCGCCCACACGGUUUGUCCUGUUUUCACCCUUCUUUGCUCUCCACCGGUCUGGGCAGGGUCUGAGGACUCCGGAGAGCAAGGCAUGGGUCCGCCUCGUGCCGCAGGUAUCCUGGGGUCCUGUGGGGAGGGCUCUGCGGUGUGGGGCCGGGUAUGAUGACCCACAUUUACAGACUAGAGUUUCUGAUGUCCACGUGACGCCACUCCUUGUAACUGACCCAGGCCGGGGUGGGGGCUGCAGGCCGGGGUCUCUCCGACCUGUGCUCACUCAAUGAUCUCUUCCAGGUUCCUGGCCCACGCCAGCCAUACCCAGUAGCACAAUGGGAUUUGAGGACACACGCCAGCUGCCUACACCUGAAGAAAGGGUGAGCUCUGAGGACUUCGCAGGGGCCCCAUCCCCUCACCUAGAUGAGGGCUAACCUUGGAGUCCAGACAAAGGUGGAAGUGACCUAGAUGUGACCUGAAUGAGCUAAUCAUCUAAUGAGAGCCAGCCCUUUGUCCUGCCCACAUGAAGGGCUUUGCUGCUACGCACUGACAAGUUGGACGGCUUUUUAUUGCUUUGUUGCCAGUUAUCUGAACAUGAGAGGCUGUAAGGUGUAAUCUGCGAGCCCUGCGCCCAGACUGAACCAGGGCCUCCCUUGAACAUGAGUAUUAGACAAUGAAAUAAGAACUUAUCUUGCCCAGACUAUAUAAUGGCUUGGAAAUGCAUAGUUUCCUGAACGAUCUCAAUAAAAUACUUUUAAAAGUA
ensembl:processed_transcript 1110038B12Rik RIKEN cDNA 1110038B12 gene